UUUUUUUUUUUUUUUUUUUUCUUUAAUUAAAGGGGAAGUAUACUACAUACCGACUACCCGCAACAUCUACCGUCUUUAAACACACAAAUAACGGCCUAAGUCACAGCCAAGGAGAACAGCAUGUUGUUUUGCUAGUAAAUGAUUCAUGGUGCAUGGCUACCGCAGAGAACAGCAAACUUUCACCAGAAACAGAUGGAGAAAUGAUCUUAGCCGUUUGUGGAAAGCUCGGCUCCAUCCAGGAAAAACUGAAGUUCAUUGAAAAUUGACCUCACUGUGCUGCUGGCCAGAUUUGAUUCACCUCAGGAGCACGGUUAUACUGAAGAUGUAAUCAGCAUGAGCAGAUGGCCCUCUCCAGGGUCAUGUUCCCAGGCAAUUAAAAAUCUGUUGCUAAGACAUAGCUAUCAAAAAAUUUGAUAUCUCAAUGUGAAAGAAUAUUCUUAUCAUUGGUUAUUGAGAAGGAGAACACUGAAGGUUGGUGAGGGAGAAAGUAAUUGGAUCAUGCACGCACUGAGGUAAAUUCAUUCUGACGUCUAUGUGAAAACCAGAUUGGAAGAAGGUCAUCUUCUCUGAUUCAGUGAUGUCUUGCUUUAAUAAUGUCAAUGAGGCUGAUGAUGAUUUCGUGAGGAAGUUGGUUGGGUGAAUUUCAUGAUUUUGUUUUAUAAACAGACAUUUCCACUGGGCCUAGGAGAUGGGCAAUUCUAUUCCUGGACAGAUGGUCUGAGAAGAAAAGACUGGCAUGACUAUGAGAGCAUUCAGAGAGAUGCUUUGCGCUCAGGGCAUCCAUGUGAAUAAAAAAUACAAAGGCAUUAUUCUAUGUAUAAACUAUGAAAAAUAGAAGAACAUUGAAUGGCAAUUCCCAAGGAUGGAAAAUAAAACAUGGCC
rnacentral:lncRNA from 1 species